rnacentral:misc_RNA from 1 species
GGUAGAGACCGAGAUUUUAGAGACUGCAAUACGGGGCAUUUCUUGAGUGUUCUGCAGGACUAGCGAUUUGUGUCAAAGCUUCAGAUCGCCAUUUAACAAAUCAGUGUCGAGUAUACGGUACGUACGUACAUACGUACGUAUGUACGUACUACAUACGUAUGCAUGCAUACAGAAGUGAAUUUAUUUGGCGAUAUGAUCGAAAUAAGUACAAUGACCUGAAUUGUCAGCCUAGCGUAGCCGUACUUCGAUUUAAUUCGAGCUUAUCGCGCUUUAAUGUGGACGGUGGUGAUAACCUACCUUUUUUUGAAGUGAAAGUAAACCGGUUCUCCAACGUUAAGCAGAAACUUUUGAGUGAAAGGACGGCUUCUUUAGGGCUUCCGAUGGUAUCGCAUUAUUAUCUUAGCUUAUUGUUGGUGGUGAAAGUGGAAGUGAAUGAUGAAUUUAACCAAGUGAUACCAGAUAAAAUAAAAUGUCAAAUUCUCUGAGAUAAUACGAGAGACACAAGAUUCACUAGUCACCAUCUAUAGUGAUUUUGUAAAAUGCAGAUUAGAAAGAUUAUAAUAUUAAAUAUAUUGAUCUUUGAACGUUACAAAAUAUGGUACCUUGUUCCAUUCGCCGUUUAAUCUCAAAUCAUUCUGACGAUUUUGAAAAAACGUGAAAUUUAAUAUACGAUGAGUCUCCGCUCUAGCGUUUGAACUUUUUACAGAAUUUCUGUCCUAAUUUUCUCAUAGAAUGAGUAUUUGUAAACAUUAAAUUAAUUAAACGAAUAGUCCAAUUUAUAAUUUACGGUCAAGGGACACCUGUAGAAAUAGAAACAACAUAGAACUCUAAAAAAUGAGUACCGCCGUACAGGAAUGGAAUAAUGCCUGUAGACUUUGUUCUGAAGUAAAAGCAGAGAUGCUAUCAAUAUUUGGAGGCGAAGGUAUCCAAAGAAAAGUCACCCUCAAAAUGAGGGCAUGCUUCCCAGUUAUGGUGUACAAAACUGACCCACUGCCUAAACAAAUAUGCCAAUUCUGUGCUGCUAGACUGGACGAUGCUUAUGAGUUCAGAGAACGUUGUCUAAGUGUCUAUAAAAAUAUGCAUCUACAACUUGUUGGUUUGAAAGAAUCUGAAACUGUUCAAAUAUUUUUGGAUGCAAUGAAAAAUUCUCCAGAUCCUUGUCAGGCACAACUUUGUAAAGAAAAAGCAAGAGCUCCACCUCCACUGGUACCCUUAUCGGCUUCAUUAUCAGCUGAAAAAUUGCCCGGUCUAACAUCUGUGGCCAAAAAACAAGAACCAAAUGUUAGUUAUGGGUCUUUGAUUGAACUUCCAUGCGAAGUACAGAUUAAAGAAGAGCCAAUGGAUUUAGCUGAUGUAGGUGGAUCCCAUUUAGAUUCAAAGAAUAUGAUACCGGACGAACAUUUAGACCCUAUACGAUGUGAGGGUACGGAAAUCUCCCAAAAAACGGAUAAAAAGUCAACAGGAAGAGUUAAAACAGAAAGGAGAAAUCUAUUUACCAAUGAAUCCAGACUUUCAAAUACCACAAAAUCUGGUAAUGGAAGUACCAGUAUUUUGGAACAAGUUCUAACUGGAAACUUGACUGUAAAUGAUCGAGAGAACAAACCAAAAUUUAAACUAAGUUCUAAAUGGUGGUGCGCCCCAUGCAACCGAUAUUAUAGAACAAAGGCGAGCUUACGCAAACACAUACGACUCUUCUGUCCAUGUAAAUAUAAGUGUAAAAAAUGUUCAGAAGUAUUUCAAUCGGUCGAGGAGCUUGCAAGACAUGAAGGAUCUCAUCAUUUAAAAGUAAUGUUAAAUUUUCACGAAUCUGUCAACAAAUGUGAUCAGUGUGAUCGAGAAUUUGUGAGCUGGGAAAUACUCGGACAUCACAAACAGAAAGAUCACCAGCCAAUCCCUGUGACUGAAGCUCAAACUGAGACUAACACAUGGCAUUCAUCCUGUAAUCGGACUUUUCCAACCCUUGAAUCGUUCCAAAGUCAUCGGCAGCCACAUCAACCAGAUAUAAUGCCACCACUGCCUGCAACUUCUGCCCAAUUCGAAACACUGUUUGACAAGAAUCCUUUCAUGGAUAACAUUAAAUCCUUGACAUGUCCUACCUGUGGAAAGGUGUGUACACAACAGAGUGCAUUAUCAAAUCAUAUGCGAACUCACGAACCGAAAAAACAUAAAUGUGAAAUCUGUGGACGCUCGUUUGGGUUGUUCAUUCGUUUAGCAGCACAUAGGCUCAGCGAACAUAAUCAGCAACCCAUAAUGUCGCCUAUUAUGGCCAGUGUUGAACAAGAAGAAGCAUUGAAUGCUGAAAGAGAGGCUCGGGAAGCCAGAGAAGUUGGUGAAACAGCUGGUGGCUUAGAAAACUACUCGAAGGAGUCUGAUGAUGAAGGACUAUAUAUGGAUGACUUAGCUCAUGCGAGUAUGAUGUCCGGUAAAGACUCAAAUGUUGGUAGAUCAAAAAACGUGGCACGUUGUGGAAUUUGCUUGCAGUGGUUCAAUGAUCAUACUACUAUGCUGACCCAUUUGCAAACUCACUCUGAAAGCUAUGUCUCUAAGAACUUCAGCUGCCGCAUCUGCAAGAAAAUGUUUAAAGAAAAAUGGCAACUUCAACGUCACGAGGCUUCCCAUAAACGUGCGAACAAAAUAACUUUGUACACGUGUUCAACCUGUAAAAAAACCUUCAAAGAUAAAGCACUGCACAAGGCACAUGAAGUAACGCACGUUGUGGAUAAAACGUAUCACUGCCCAAGGUGUAACAAAAUAUUUUUCAAAGAAGUCUCCCUUGUGACGCAUCAGUGUGUUUCGGGUAAACCAACAUUUGGAAAACGCGGUUCAAAUUCCAAGACUGCCUCCAAGGGUACUCUUAACUUCGGCGCUUUCAAGAAGUACAAGUGUUCCAAGUGUAAUGCAACCUUCAACAAUUCUCAAUCUAGAAAUUCUCACAUGAGGGUACAUACGCAAGCACACGCAAUGCUCCAGAUGCGGAAGAAGGAAUUGAAAAGAGAGCUAGAAAUGAAUAAAGCAGUGCCAAAUUUGAAAUCAGAAGAAGAGUCACCAGGUACAUCACUACCGGCAGUCAUGGAACCUCUUGUAGAAGUCAAUGUCGAAGAUUCUCCAGUGUUACCUGCCAUGAAGCGGACUCUGAUAACAACUGGCGGCGGUUACCGCUGUGGUGUUUGCCAAUCCCCGUUCGUUCUGCGAGAACUGGCGGUAGCACAUCUGAGAUCGGCUCACCCAGCGGCGACGUUUCAUUGUCAACAUUGCAAAAAACAGUUUUCAACACGUUACACAUUAGCACGUCACGUCGAGACGGUCCAUCCAAACGAAUCGGAAAAGUAAUCGCUGUAGUGUGAUAUGUAGAUAUGUAUUACAUAUUUAUGAACGUAUUUACUGGAUUAGUGGAGUCUGCAAUAAUACGCUGCCGAGCGGUUGGGAGCCACUCUUCUUUAUACAUUGAAUCUUCUUUCACAUCAGAUGAUAAAUAAAUGUUGAAAAGAAAUAUAUGAUUAGUGCAAAAAAAUACACGAGUAUUUUACUUGCCCCCAAUUUACUAAACGCAUCAGCAAUGCGCGCGCCAUUAAUUUCAUUUGUCUUUCAAAUUCCCAUCCUCUGGUUCAAAUUUUGUUCCCGUAAUUUUCAUUCAAUUUCAUAUCAUUACAUUCCGCACGCAAGUUGAAAGUUUUUGUGUGUGAGAUCCAAAAA